rnacentral:antisense_RNA from 1 species
UAAAGAUACGCUCCUCUGCGUGUUCAUAAGUAAGUAUGAAGAAAUUCUCGUUCAAAAGUUUGUUCUUCAUACUUUUAUUAUAUCA